rnacentral:rRNA from 1 species
UGCAGUCGAACGAUGAUGCCCAGCUUGCUGGGCGGAUUAGUGGCGAACGGGUGAGUAAUACGUGAGUAACCUGCCCUUGACUCUGGGAUAAGCCUGGGAAACUGGGUCUAAUACUGGAUACUACCUCUUGCCGCAUGGUGGGUGGUGGAAAGGGUUUUACUGGUUUUGGAUGGGCUCACGGCCUAUCAGCUUGUUGGUGGGGUAAUGGCUCACCAAGGCGACGACGGGUAGCCGGCCUGAGAGGGUGACCGGCCACACUGGGACUGAGACACGGCCCAGACUCCUACGGGAGGCAGCAGUGGGGAAUAUUGCACAAUGGGCGGAAGCCUGAUGCAGCGACGCCGCGUGAGGGAUGACGGCCUUCGGGUUGUAAACCUCUUUCAGUAGGGAAGAAGCGAGAGUGACGGUACCUGCAGAAGAAGCGCCGGCUAACUACGUGCCAGCAGCCGCGGUAAUACGUAGGGCGCAAGCGUUGUCCGGAAUUAUUGGGCGUAAAGAGCUCGUAGGCGGUUUGUCGCGUCUGCUGUGAAAGCCCGGGGCUCAACCCCGGGUCUGCAGUGGGUACGGGCAGACUAGAGUGCAGUAGGGGAGACUGGAAUUCCUGGUGUAGCGGUGAAAUGCGCAGAUAUCAGGAGGAACACCGAUGGCGAAGGCAGGUCUCUGGGCUGUUACUGACGCUGAGGAGCGAAAGCAUGGGGAGCGAACAGGAUUAGAUACCCUGGUAGUCCAUGCCGUAAACGUUGGGCACUAGGUGUGGGGGACAUUCCACGUUUUCCGCGCCGUAGCUAACGCAUUAAGUGCCCCGCCUGGGGAGUACGGCCGCAAGGCUAAAACUCAAAGGAAUUGACGGGGGCCCGCACAAGCGGCGGAGCAUGCGGAUUAAUUCGAUGCAACGCGAAGAACCUUACCAAGGCUUGACAUUCACCGGACCGCCCCAGAGAUGGGGUUUCCCUUCGGGGCUGGUGGACAGGUGGUGCAUGGUUGUCGUCAGCUCGUGUCGUGAGAUGUUGGGUUAAGUCCCGCAACGAGCGCAACCCUCGUUCUAUGUUGCCAGCACGUGAUGGUGGGGACUCAUAGGAGACUGCCGGGGUCAACUCGGAGGAAGGUGGGGAUGACGUCAAAUCAUCAUGCCCCUUAUGUCUUGGGCUUCACGCAUGCUACAAUGGCCGGUACAAAGGGUUGCGAUACUGUGAGGUGGAGCUAAUCCCAAAAAGCCGGUCUCAGUUCGGAUUGAGGUCUGCAACUCGACCUCAUGAAGUCGGAGUCGCUAGUAAUCGCAGAUCAGCAACGCUGCGGUGAAUACGUUCCCGGGCCUUGUACACACCGCCCGUCAAGUCACGAAAGUUGGUAACACCCGAAGCCGGUGGCCUAACCCCUUGUGGGAGGGAGCC